rnacentral:rRNA from 1 species
CAGCAGCCGCGGGAAUACAGAGGGUGCAAACGUUGUUCGGAAUUACUGGGCGUAAAGCGAGUGUAGGCGGUUCGGUAAGUCGGAUGUGAAAGCCCCGGGCUCAACCCGGGAAGUGCACUCGAUACUACCAAGCUAGAGUACUGGAGAGGUUGGUGGAAUUCUCGGUGUAGAGGUGAAAUUCGUAGAUAUCGAGAGGAACACCGGUGGCGAAGGCGGCCAACUGGACAGAUACUGACGCUGAGACUCGAAAGCGUGGGGAGCAAACAGGAUUAGAGACCCCCGUAGUCCCUGUCUCUUAUAC